rnacentral:lncRNA from 1 species
ACCUCCUUCUUGGGACAAUUGUCACUAAAUGAAGCCAAGGAUGAACCUUUGAUGUUUCCCAUUGCUCGGUUUAUUGUAACAUUAGAACCAGUCAAUUAGGGUUUUAUUGCUUUUUGUUUAUGUGUGAGAAUCAAAGUGAUGGCCUAGAACAUACGAGUUACCUUGCCCUCCCUUCCAAUGGCAGAACCUACUCAGCUGCUGUCCUCUGUGGAGGAUGUAUCUGAGAGCUGUGACAGAAGGCAAAACGAUGGAGAGCUGUGAGCAGAGAUUGGAGAGCAUCAGUCAUGACUAAAGCUCGAUCUGGCUGGCCAACAAUAUAGCUAAGUGAAUGAAGAUGCUUGCUGCCAAGCCUGAAACCUUAGUUGGAUUCCUGUAACCCACAUGGUAGAAAGAGAGAACAGAGAACAAAGUCCAACACCUUCACAUACCCUAGGUGAGAAGAGAAGAGUAACUUAUAAAACACAGCAUCCAGAGCUGCUCUUCGGAGUCUCAUGAAGCAUAAAGUGAAAGGAGAUCCGGUGUCUGUCCAUUGCCAUCCGUUGUUUUCUUCAGGCUCCUCAGGACUGCUGACUGCUGCAGCUAGUGACUUUCUGGGUUUCAGCCUUCUGGACAUCUGGGAGCACAGUGGGGAUGAGCCACAGGAGUCCAUCAUGUUGGUGUGUUUGCCCUAUUUAUAGCCUACCUCCUGCUAAAGAGAGGACUGAAAGCACCUCACAAAACAGUAACAAGAAGAGAUAAAAAUAAACAAGUGGAAAAUUCCCGCAA